CCUACGGGGGGCUGCAGCAACGAAUCUUCCGCAAUGGGCGCAAGCCUGACGGAGCAAUGCCGCGUGUGGGAUGAAGUGCCUACGGUAUGUAAACCACUGUCAGAGGACAGAAACACUGAUCGUCCUCAAAGGAAGUGGCGACUAACUCUGUGCCAGCAGUCGCGGUAAUACAGAGGCCACGAGCGUUUGUCGGAAUCACUGGGCUUAAAGGGUGCGUAGGCGGUCUUUCAAGCGUCUUGUGAAAGCCUCCGGCUCAACCGGAGAACAGCAGGGCG
rnacentral:rRNA from 1 species